CCUGUCCCUAGAGGCAUUGCAGGUGUGGCUGCUGUGUCACAUGUGUGUCAGUAGGUGGCAGAGAGGUGAGAGGCUGUGUCUAUACUUAGGUGUUCUGACCAAUGAACAUCUGAAGGAUUAGUAGCCUAACAUU